UUCUAUUAGAAUUAAUUAAUAGUAUAAUCUGCUCAAUGAAUAUUUUAAAUAGCCGCUAUAGUGCUAAGGUAGCAUAAUCAUUCGUCUUUUAAUUAAAGACUAGAACAAAAGAUUUUACAUUUUAAUUAAUUUAUUUUAAAUAAAAAUUUAAAUUUUCUUAAAUGUUAAAAGACAUUUAAUUUUAGAAAGACGAUAAGACCCUAUUGAACUUAACUUUAAGUUAAACUGGGGCAGUUAAUUAAUUAAUAUUUUAAUUUUUAUUCAAUAAAUAUCUAAUAUUAUUAUAAUAUAAUAUAGUUACCUUAGGGAUAACAGCAUAAUAUAUAUUUUAAGAUCUUAUAAAAAUAUAAGUUUAUGACCUCGAUGUUGAAUAAUUAUCUAUAUUACGCAAUAGUAAUAAAAGAAAGUCUGUUCGACUUAUAAUAAAUUACA
rnacentral:rRNA from 1 species